CCUACGAGCGGGCAGCAGUGAGGAAUAUUGGUCAAUGGGCGCGAGCCUGAACCAGCCAAGUCGCGUGAGGGUAGACGGUCCUAUGGUUUGUAAACCUCUUUGUUUGGGGAUCAAAAGCCGCCUCGCUUGGCGUUCCCAGAGUACUCGAAGAUAAAGCAUCGGCUAACUCCGUGCCAGCAGCCGCGGUAAUCCGGAGGAUGCGAGCGUUAUCCGGUUUUAUUGGGUUUAAAGGGUGCGCAGGCGGAAGAUAAAGUCAGCGGUAAAAUUGAGAGGACCAACCUCUUCGAGCCGUUGAUACUGGUUUUCUUGAGUGAGUGAGAGGUAUGCGGAAUGCGUGGUGUAGCGGUGAAAUGCAUAGAUAUCACGCAGAACUCCGAUUGCGAAGGAAGCAUACCGGCGCUCAACUGACGCUCAUGCACGAAAGUGUGGGUAUCGAACAGGAUUAGAUACCCUUGUAGUC
rnacentral:rRNA from 1 species